AGCACUUUAUUUCCCACAUUCUUGGUUACACUGUAGAGUGCAGAAAAAUUGCUGGUUCUUUCCGUGGCACGGCUCAUUUUGUGCCAUUCUGCUGUUGCUGUAUGGAGUUAAGAAACAUAA
ensembl:snoRNA